AAGUAAAGUCUUUUGUUCUUACCUUUUGGAGUUUUAGUUUUCCCCCUCUGCAUUUGGGUCCUAACCCCCCAUGCACCCUGACAAUUACAGCCCAAAUAUAUUGGAGAGAGAGAAUGUUCAAUAUCCCUGCCCCAGCCAAUGGGAAAGAGUAGCCUGGUCAUGUGCUCCUGACAUGUGACUUACUGUACGGCUUUAGGCAUCUGACAGGGCCGAGGCUGGUAUUCAACCAACAUUCUUAAAAUCGGUUAAUUCUUGCUAACAGCUAAAAGCAAUAAUUCUGUUGUCCUACACAAACACAGUUUGCUGAGUUCAGCAAUCACUAAAAUUGGUUUUGGUUUGCAGUUGAAGACAGGAUGAAAUAAAUCUUUUUUUUUGUUUGUUUGUUUUUUUGUUUUUAUUAAUGGAAAUGUGAGUUCUAGAAACCGAGGGAUAAAAUGUUUCAGACGGAGAACUGGAGGGAAACUGUUACUGUGUGUCUUCAUUACGAUCAAACCCUCGGAGACAAGCCGUAACAUACAUAACACACUCAUCCCUUGGGUUUGAUGUGGGAAGAAUCCAGCUGGGUUUGAGGCUGGAAUGAUGGGUAGAAGAACGCCGGUAGUCACAUGACCCUUGGAAUGCACUGCAUCCAAUGUACUUCCGGUCUUGUAACAGCAGUGCCUUUUACUGACUUUAUUUGACUAUU